rnacentral:rRNA from 1 species
CGUAGAUAACCUGCCUGUAUGACCGGGAUAACAGUUGGAAACGACUGCUAAUACCGGAUAGGCAGAGAGGAGGCAUCUCUUCUCUGUUAAAGUUGGGAUACAACGCAAACAGAUGGAUCUGCGGUGCAUUAGCUAGUUGGUGAGGUAACGGCCCACCAAGGCGAUGAUGCAUAGCCGGCCUGAGAGGGCGAACGGCCACAUUGGGACUGAGACACGGCCCAA